rnacentral:rRNA from 1 species
CCUACGGGAUGCACCAGUGGGGAAUAUUGCACAAUGGGCGCAAGCCUGAUGCAGCCAUGCCGCGUGUGUGAAGAAGGCCUUCGGGUUGUAAAGCACUUUCAGCGGGGAGGAAGGCGUUAAGGUCAUUAACCUUAGCGAUUGACGUUACCCGCAGAAGAAGCACCGGCUAACUCCGUGCCAGCAGCCGCGGUAAUACGGAGGGUGCAAGCGUUAAUCGGAAUUACUGAGCGUAAAGCGCACGCAGGCGGUCUGUCAAGUCGGAUGUGAACACCCCGGGCUCAACCUGGGAACUGCAUUCGAAACUGGCAGGCUAGAGUCCUGUAGAGGGGGGUAGAAUUCCAGGUGUAGCGGUGAAAUGCGUAGAGAUCUGGAGGAAUACCGGUGGCGAAGGCGGCCCCCUGGACAAAGACUGACGCUCAGGUGCGAAAGCGUGGGGAGCAAACAGGAUUAGAUACCCGCGUAGUC